AUUGAACGCUGGCGGCAGGCUUAACACAUGCAAGUCGAGCGGAGUGAUGGUGCUUGCACUAUCACUUAGCGGCGGACGGGUGAGUAAUGCUUAGGAAUCUGCCUAUUAGUGGGGGACAACAUCUCGAAAGGGAUGCUAAUACCGCAUACGUCCUACGGGAGAAAGCAGGGGAUCACUUGUGACCUUGCGCUAAUAGAUGAGCCUAAGUCGGAUUAGCUAGUUGGUGGGGUAAAGGCCUACCAAGGCGACGAUCUGUAGCGGGUCUGAGAGGAUGAUCCGCCACACUGGGACUGAGACACGGCCCAGACUCCUACGGGAGGCAGCAGUGGGGAAUAUUGGACAAUGGGGGGAACCCUGAUCCAGCCAUGCCGCGUGUGUGAAGAAGGCCUUAUGGUUGUAAAGCACUUUAAGCGAGGAGGAGGCUCUUUUGGUUAAUACCCAAGAUGAGUGGACGUUACUCGCAGAAUAAGCACCGGCUAACUCUGUGCCAGCCGCCGCAGUAACAC
rnacentral:rRNA from 1 species